AUUGAACGCUGGCGGCAGGCCUAACACAUGCAAGUCGAGCGGAGCGGCGGACGGGGGAGUAAUACCUAGGAAUCUGCCUGGUAGUGGGGGAUGACGUGCGGGAACGGGCGCUAAUACCGCAUACUAUCAGAUGAGCCUAGGUCGGAUUAGCUUGUUGGUGGGGUAAAGGCCUACCAAGGCGACGAUCCGUAACCGGUCUGAGAGGAUGAUCAGGCACACGGGAACUGGGACACGGUCCAGAGUCCUACGGGAGGCAGCAGUGGGGAAUAUUGGACAAUGGGCGAAAGCCUGAUCCAGCCAUGCCGCGUGUGUGAAGAAGGUCUUCGGAUUGUAAAGCACUUUAAGUUGGGAGGCGUUACCAACAGAAUAAGCACCGGCUAACUUCGUGCCAGCAGCCGCGGUAAUAC
rnacentral:rRNA from 1 species